rnacentral:tRNA from 1 species
UAAAAGGUUUGGUCCUAGCCUUUCCCCAUAUGAAGGAUGUAGUAAGGGAAUUUAGGGUUUA